UACUAUAAAAAUAGAUAUAGGAAGAUGUGGUGUGAGUGCCAAUGAGACAACUCUCCAUACAAAUAACAAUUUAAAAAGUAAACCAUUAUAGGUUAAAGUACGGCCUUCAACACGGAGCUUUGGCUCACACCGAACAACAAGCUAUAAAGGGCCCCAAAAUUACUAGUGUAAAACCAUUCAAACGGGAAAACCAACGGUAUA
rnacentral:lncRNA from 1 species